CUCCGCGGUGGCCUGGAGGCCGGGCACCCCGCCCAGCCUUCACCUUGCCGGAACUGGCUCACGGACAAGGGGUUGGGGGUUUGGAGCGGAUCUUUUUUUUUUUUUCACAUUUUUCCAGCAGACCACAUCCCCGCCCCCCGCUCGCGGUCCUCCGCCCCCUGCACAUAUACCCUACACACACACACACACGCACGCACACAUACACACACACACACACCCGGCGCGCACAGACACGCUCCCUCCCUCCGGCGCGCUCUACCGCUCGCCCGCCAGCGGCACACGCAGCCGGCCCCGGCUCCCCGCGCCCCGCCGCCGCCGAGCGUAGCCGGGCUGGGCUGGGAGCUGCUCAUGGAGAAAGUGCCGGGCGAGAUGGAGAUUGAGCGCAGGGAGCGGAGCGAGGAGCUGUCCGAGGCGGAGAGGAAGGCGGUGCAGGCGACGUGGGCCCGGCUCUAUGCCAACUGCGAGGACGUGGGGGUGGCCAUCCUGGUGCGGUUCUUUGUGAACUUCCCGUCGGCCAAGCAGUACUUCAGCCAGUUCAAGCACAUGGAGGAGCCCCUGGAAAUGGAGCGGAGCCCGCAGCUGCGGAAGCACGCCUGCCGGGUCAUGGGGGCCCUCAACACCGUGGUGGAGAAUCUGCACGACCCCGAGAAGGUGUCCUCUGUGCUUGCCCUCGUGGGCAAAGCCCACGCCCUCAAGCACAAGGUGGAGCCUGUGUACUUCAAGAUCCUCUCUGGGGUCAUCCUGGAGGUGAUCGCCGAGGAAUUUGCCAAUGACUUCCCACCCGAGACGCAGAGAGCCUGGGCCAAGCUUCGCGGCCUCAUCUACAGCCACGUGACCGCUGCCUACAAGGAAGUGGGCUGGGUACAGCAGGUCCCCAACGCCACCACCCCACCGGCCGCGCUGCCCUCUUCGGGGCCAUAGGACCCCCUCUCUCCUCCCCCCUCCCUGGCAGCACCUUGAGCUGAAGGCCGAGUUCUGAAGACGCUCCUUGACCCUGCAUCUCUGGGUGCCAAGGAAGCUGGAGGAAUCCCUGACUCGUCUUCCCGGAAAGAGGCUGCCUCGGCCUCGGUCACAGCCCCCCUGGAGCCGCCGGAAGGUGGCAUCAGCUGCCUGGGUGCUGACCCCAGCUCAGCGGUGCAGCGGGUGGCCUGUGGGGUGGGGGACCUUUCCUCCUUGAAGAGCGGGGCACGCCCUUCUUAGCUUUUCUACUCACUGUUAGAGACCUAGCUGAGCGGCCGGAGGGAAUCGGGGGCAGGUCUGUGAGUCACUGGAGGAACAAACCAGCCCCGUUUCUAUCUGCCUGGCCACACACAGGUCUCCACAUCACUUAUCUAGAAUACCACGCACACACGUCUACCGUAUACACAGAUAUAUUCUAUAUACAAUCUAUAUAUAAAUAUAUAUAUAUAUAUAUAUAUAUACACAUACAUAUCUAUAAUGUGUAUCAGUAAGGCCCAGAGGCAUGUGUGAAGCCUCGGGUCUGCCCACCGAGGGGUCCUGGCAGCUUCUGGGCAGAGAACAGAGUGUUCCGGCAGAGAUGAUGGGGUCCCACAUCAGCACGGAGAGGACCCGGGCCUGCGUGGGCAGGGUUGAGGUGACCCAGCUUGCCGGCAAAGCCCAGCCCAUUCUCUCUGACCAGCUUCCCACAUUCCUGCUUUCCACUUCAGGCAGCAAGGAUUUGGCGUUCCCUACCUCUGCCCCCCACAAAAGGAGGUGGGUCCCUGACUUGCCCCUAAAUGGGCAAGGGAAGACAGAGGGGGCCAGAAGUUCUGGACAGGACAACUGCAGCGGUGGAGGGUCCAUGGUCCAGAAACCCCGGAUGCCAGCUGCAUCUGCCUUUGCCACUAAGACAGACGGCCUUGGCGGGAAGGGGAUCCAGGCUGCUGUCAGUGGGGCAGUGGUGACGGCACCAGAUGCCUCCACCUCUUCCUGGGGCUCUGAGGGCUGAGGGCCUCCCCUCCCCUGCCUCUGCUGGCUGCUGGCUUGCAGUCAGCCCUCUCCAUCCAUCUAGGUCAGCGUUGCUGGGGACCCCCCCCCCAAUGUGUGCCCCUUGGUCACGUGUAUUGUCCUCAAGGAUGUUUUGCUGCUGUGGCUACUGUGCCUGUGUCCUCCUGUCCCAUCUUCGUGCAGCCAUCCGUGUAACUGCCUGUCCUCCUUUUGUAGUUUCUGAUGUUUGUAACCAGACCCAGCCGUGUCAUUAAACAGACUCGUAA